GAGUUUGAUCCUGGCUCAGAACGAACGCUGGCGGCGUGGAUAAGACAUGCAAGUCGAACGGGAAUGAACGGGUAGCAAUAUUCGGACAUUCUAGUGGCGAAAGGGUGCGUAACACGUAGGUCAUCUACCUCCAAGUGUGGGAUAGCUCGGCGAAAGCCGGAUUAAUACCGCAUGUGGUUCAGGAACGUCAGUUCCGAAAAUUAAAGCCGGGGAUCGUAAGACCUGGCGCUUGGAGAUGAGCCUGCGGCCUAUCAGCUUGUUGGUGAGGUAACGGCUCACCAAGGCUAAGACGGGUAGCUGGUCUGAGAGGACGACCAGCCACACUGGAACUGAGACACGGUCCAGACACCUACGGGUGGCAGCAGUCGAGGAUUUUUCUCAAUGGGCGAAAGCCUGAAGGAGCGACGCCGCGUGGGGGAUGAAGGUCUUCGGAUUGUAAACCCCUGUCACUUGGGAACAAAUUGGUUGACCCAAUACGUCAGCCAUUGAUUGUACCAGGAGAGGAAGACGUGGCUAACUCUGUGCCAGCAGCCGCGGUAAUACAGAGACGUCGAGCGUUGUUCGGAUUCAUUGGGCGUAAAGGGUGCGUAGGCGGUCGGGUAAGUCGGACGUGAAAUCCCAGAGCUUAACUCUGGAAGUGCAUUCGAAACUACCUGGCUCGAGGACUGGAGGGGAGACUGGAAUUCUCGGUGUAGCGGUGAAAUGCGUAGAUAUCGAGAGGAACACCUGUGGCGAAGGCGGGUCUCUGGACAGUUCCUGACGCUGAGGCACGAAAGCUAGGGUAGCAAACGGGAUUAGAUACCCCGGUAGUCCUAGCCCUAAACGGUGCUCACUUGGUGUGGGAGGGAAUCGACCCCUUCCGUGCCGAAGCUAACGCGAUAAGUGAGCCGCCUGGGGAGUACGGUCGCAAGACUAAAACUCAAAGAAAUUGACGGGGGCCCGCACAAGCGGUGGAGCAUGUGGCUUAAUUCGAUGCAACGCGAAGAACCUUACCUGGCCUUGACAUGUACGUAGUAGAAGCCCGAAAUGGUGACGAGGUAGCAAUACCAGCGUACACAGGUGCUGCAUGGCUGUCGUCAGCUCGUGCCGUGAGGUGUUCGGUUAAGUCCGGUAACGAGCGCAACCCCUGUGUUUAGUUGCAACCGCCGAUGUGAAUCGGUGGGCACUCUAAACAGACUGCCCUGUGAAACGGGGAGGAAGGUGGGGAUGACGUCAAGUCAGUAUGGCCCUUACGGCCAGGGCUGCACACGUGCUACAAUGCCCAGUACAGAGGGACGCAAGACCGCGAGGUGGAGCAAAUCCCCCAAAACUGGGCUCAGUUCAGAUUGAAGGCUGCAACUCGCCUUCAUGAAGCUGGAAUCGCUAGUAAUGGCGCAUCAGCUACGGCGCCGUGAAUACGUUCCCGGGCCUUGUACACACCGCCCGUCACGUCCGGAAAGCCGCUUGUACCCGAAGUCGCCCCUUAAAAGGCGCCGAAGGUAUGGGUGGUGAUUUGGACGAAGUCGUAACAAGGUAGCCGUAAAUCGUCGACCUGCAGGC
rnacentral:rRNA from 1 species